AUAAACGAGGAGCAGCCCAAGGUGGGGAGGAGGAAGCGAGGAGCGGAAGGGACAGGGAAUGGGAAUGAAUGGAGAGGGAUAACAAAGAGUCAGGUGCAGUGCUGUGUGUGCGUCCUCGCGGUCGCUUCGAGAUUGAUUGAUUUGUUUAAACACUCCUGUAGCAACUAAACAGGAAAAUGGAAAAGCUGUGGAAGCAAAAGCCAGGUUUCUAACGGCAGCUAGAGGCUUUGAAAGAAGCGUGUGCAUUGUAUCGGGAAGAGCCCGUUCCUGUAGUGAUGGAGAAGAACGUACCACGCAGUUCUGUGGGACAGCAAUACCUAAAGAUACGUCUGACUUUGGUUUUCCCGCUCCAAAAUAGUCUGCUGCUUCACUGGGUGAAGAGCACCUUCAUAAAUAUGAAUGCAAACAGUCUGGAAGUUAAACAGAUCUGCCUGAGUUUCAAAUCCAUAGAACCCCACGGACUGAAGAGACAACCUCUGGAACGUCUUUCUAAGCUUGUCUUGUGUUGGCAUCUAUUACUAUUACAAAAUACAUAGGGUUGUCUGAAGAUACCCUGAAAAGCCUCUGAUUUGUGAAUUUUUCCAGUACCAGUGGGAAAUGUGUUAUAUUAAGUUCUAAAAGGAGAUAGAGAGCUUGAUUCUGCUGUCAAGAUAGAACACUUUUUAAUUAUGUUUCCUGUGAUUUGAAUAGAGCGCCAAAUCAGGCCUACCAGAUUUGUUUGAAAUGAAACAGAAAAUACAAAUAUACGUGUGCAGAUAUAUUUAUUUGUUUCUACUCUGCCUAAUUAAAUCCGCAAUGUGGUAUCUGGUGUCCAUUAAAAAUGGUGGGGUUUUGUUGGUUUUUUUUUGU